rnacentral:rRNA from 1 species
CCUACGGGAGGCAGCAGUAGGGAAUCUUUCACAAUGGGCGAAAGCCUGAUGGAGCAACGCCGCGUGCAGGAUGAAGGCCCUCGGGUUGUAAACUGCUUUUAUAAGCGAGAAAUAUGAUGGUAACUUAUGAAUAAGGAUCGGCUAACUACGUGCCAGCAGCCGCGGUCAUACGUAGGAUCCGAGCAUUAUCCGGAGUGACUGGGUGUAAAGAGUUGCGUAGGUGGCAUAAUAAGUAGCUAGUGAAAUCUGGUGGCUCAACCAUUCAGACUAUUAGCUAAACUGUUAAGCUCGAGACCGUUAGGGGUAACUGGAAUUUAUAGUGUAGGAGUGAAAUCCGUAGAUAUUAGAAGGAACACCAAUAGCGUAGGCAGGUUGCUGGGACGGUUCUGACACUAAGGCACGAAAGCGUAGGGAGCAAACGGGAUUAGAUACCCGAGUAGUC